ACUCCGUACGGGAGGCAGCAGUAGGGAAUCUUCCACAAUGGGCGCAAGCCUGAUGGAGCAACACCGCGUGAGUGAAGAAGGGUUUCGGCUCGUAAAGCUCUGUUGUUAAAGAAGAACACGUAUGAGAGUAACUGUUCAUACGUUGACGGUAUUUAACCAGAAAGUCACGGCUAACUACGUGCCAGCAGCCGCGGUAAUACGUAGGUGGCAAGCGUUAUCCGGAUUUAUUGGGCGUAAAGAGAGUGCAGGCGGUUUUCUAAGUCUGAUGUGAAAGCCUUCGGCUUAACCGGUAGAAGUGCAUCGGAAACUGGAUAACUUGAGUGCAGAAGAGGGUAGUGGAACUCCAUGUGUAGCGGUGGAAU
rnacentral:rRNA from 1 species